UCUCUCUCUGACAGAGUGCCUACCGCAGGAACGGGAUGACUUUUCUCGCCUGCUGAUGUGGAUGUGGCUGCAGCAACAGGAAAGACAGUGUUAUAUUAAGAGCUGACCACGAUGAUGCUUGACCAGAGAAAAGCGCUCGUGCUUCAAGCCCAUCACCAGGAUCUGCAGGCACGUCCUGCUGGUUUCCCUGUGCUACCCAGGGGCCCAGAUCCGCUUCAACCAGGCUUGGAAUCCAACUUAAACCUCAAAUUAAUACAGAACACUCAAGGGAUCAAGAGGAGAUCAGCAAAAUAUUAGUUUUAUAUAGUGCAGCCGUCCUCCUCCUUUGUGCUUAGUGUGUGAGGUCUUAAUUUUUACUCCUGCUCUAUGGUCUUGUGUUCGUUUGUAGGUGGUUCUGUUGUCCUGCUCUCCUGGACCUGCUCGCAAAAACUUUAAAUAUAUGUGUAUUUUUUAAAUAAACAGAAAAAAAAUGUCUCUUUGCACCUAAAAUAUUGUAGAAGUGACCUUUGUACAUUGAGUGUUGCUGACGUUCAUAAACUGCUUUUUUCUUUUGCCUACUUUUUGCUUCUGUUUUCUGGAAAUUGUCUGUGUGUAAAGGACUGAAAGUAACGUGUACAACGCCGCGUAUUAAACGAGGGGAGGGAGAAGUUUUCUAAUGCUCCAUCUGUGCUUCUUGAAAUAUAUGAUUAAACUUUUCUUUUUAUCAUCACUCUUUA